rnacentral:rRNA from 1 species
GAUGAACGCUGGCGGCGUGCCUAAUACAUGCAAGUCGAGCGAAGAGGGUUGGUACUUGUACCUCCUGGAUGAGCAGCGGACGGGUGAGUAACGCGUGGGGAAUCUGCCUUUGAGAGGGGGACAACAUCGGGAAACGAAUGCUAAUACCGCAUAAAAACUUUAAACACAAGGUUCAAGAGUGAAAGAUGCAAUUGCUUCAAUCAAAGAUGAUCCCGCGUUGUAUUAGCUAGUUGGUGAGGUAAAGGCUCACCAAGGCGAUGGUACAUAGCCGGCCUGGGGGGGGGGUCCGCCACAACGGGACUGGGACCCGGCCCCAGCCCCUUCGGGAGGGAGCAGUAGGGGAUCCUCGGCCAUGGGGGGAAGGCUGACCGGGGAACGGCGGGGUGGGUGAGAAGGUUCUCGGGUCGUUAAAAUCUGUUUGUUGGGAAGAAAGUUGGGUGUAGUUGAAUGCGCACCAAGUGACGGUAACUACUCAGAAAGGGACGGCUAACUACGUG